UACAGAGGUCCCAAGCGUUGUUCGGAUUCACUGGGCGUAAAGGGUGCGUAGGUGGUCGGGUAAGUCCGAUGUGAAAUCUCCAGGCUCAACCUGGAAAUGGCAUUGGAUACUAUCUGGCUUGAGGAGUGGAGGGGGGGACUGGAAAUUCUCGGGUGUAUCAGUGAAAUGCGUAGAUAUCGAGAGGAACACCAGUGGCGAAGGCGAGUCCCUGGACACUCCUGACACUGAGGCACGAAAGCUAGGGAGCAAACAGG
rnacentral:rRNA from 1 species